rnacentral:lncRNA from 1 species
UUUGGGAGCCUCUUGUUACAGAAUUCCUAGAGAGAGCUAGAGGAAGGAGAUUGUUUGUGAAGAACACUUGUACUAGACGGUUUUGCUUUUCAAGUAAUAGAAUCGUGUGCAAGUGUUGAAAGUGAUUCGGUGUGUUCUUCGUGUUCGGUUCGUAUUCUCAUAUUUUUCGGUUUAAUCUUGAAUCUCACCAAGUUUGGAUUCCGCACAAACUUGGUGUUGUUUGAUAUCAUUGAAAGAUCCGUUUCACGGGACUUACAAGUGGUAUCAGAGCCUUUAGAAACUUUUUCUAGGCUCGGUGUGAUAUCAAAGAUUCAAGAUUUUGAAUUUUUUUUGUAAAAAUUCAUCAAGAACUUCUAUCGCGUUCUUCGUGUUCUUCGCGGUAUUCGUAGUUUUCAUCGAAAUUCUAUAAAAAAUUAGUGUAUUUUGGUGUUUUUGAUUUUUCUAAAAGUUGUCAAGAUUUGAAAAUUUUGAUAAGUUUGAAAAAGGAUUUAAUCAAUCCCAACUUUUUCGAAAAAAUCUGGUUGAUUAGUUUGUUAAAAAUUAUUUGUUUCCUUACUUAAAAAAUUGGAAAUUCAAAAUUCAAAAUAAUUUUCAACUCUCUUGAUCAAAGCAGUAAAGGGUUUCCAACGGUUACGAGUCCCAAUUUUAAGGAAACAACGGUUUCGAGUAGAGUUUCCCGAGGUUUUGGCUGCAUUCUUCACUGUUCGAGUCGCAACCUCACUUGAUCUCGAGUCUUAACCGAAGCUUCAGCACCAUCUUCAUCGUUCCAAUCCACGGUCUCGACUCCCUAUCAGUCUCGACAACAGACCUCGCAACCGAGAUCUCGACUCUUCACGGUUUCACGGUCUUGACUCACCGUUCCGACUCGCAACCUCGGUUCCGAGUCGCAGCCGAGUUCUCGAGUUAUCAUCCUCAGUCUCGAGUCGCCACAACGGUUCCGAGUCGUAACCAUCAAUCGUUCAUUAUUCAGUUGCCGACGUAACCUGCAACUGCAAUCAUCAUCAUCUACACUUCUUCCGUCACCGACCGCUAUCUUCUCAUCAUCCUCUUCGUUUACCGAUAAUCCUCUCCGACAGACACCAUCAUCAACCGUUUCCUUCAUCAUCUAUCUUCUCCGUCGAUCUCCGACCUCCACCUUUCGACGUUCAUCAUCGACUUUCAUUCUUCACCCCCAUUAACGACGGUAAAUAUCACCAUACCUCCGAUCAACCUGCAAGUUCAUCACUGUCGUUCCGCUAUCAUCAUCAUCCUUUCAUCAACACCUCCGACCACCCUCCUUAUCUCCGGUCAACAUUCUUCAAUCGAUCUCGACUCAUCAUUGGUCGCGAGUUGUCUCGAGUCGCAACCGGGUUACAUCUCCACCACUGUUACCUCCUGUCUCCAUUCUUCGCCAUCUCCGACACACCAUCGACCUCCUCCGACCACCGUUAAUCACCAUCCUCAUCAUCACUGUCCACCGUUUCGAAUUUACCGUCACCGUUCCGAUAUCCAUCGUUCCUCCGCCACUUCUUUACAUCUCCGACGUUCCUGUUAUUCAUCUCCGUCGACAUCACAUCGUCCCGUCCCCCCGACAACCUCCGGUUACCAUCUCCGAGCCCCGUCUCCAUCGAUCUUUCGCCUGAGUGUACAUUAGGGUUUUGGUUUUGUUGAAACGUAGAAGACGAAAGACAGUGUCUUUCUUGUGGUUUAAUAAUACUAGCAGGAUGCCCGCGCGAUGCGGCGGGAGAGACAUAUCGCAUUGCGAUACUGGUUUUGCAUUAUUAUGAUAGAUAUACAUCAAAACGAAGUAAUCGAGUAAUCAAUUUCAUUGUGUUUUGCAUGGUUCGGUCGGUUCGUUUAUUAUCCUUAAUCGAAGCCAAAACCAAAGGCAUCAGUUGGUCUAUUUUAUUAACCAAUCGGUCCACGGUUAAACACUUCGGUUUAUUC